UACAGAGGUCUCAACCGUUGUUCGGAAUCACUGGGCGUAAAGGGCGCGUAGGCGGCGCGGUAAGUCAGAUGUGAAAUCCCGGGGCUCAACCCCGGAACUGCAUCCGAUACUGCCAUGCUAGAGGAUUGGAGAGGUAGCUGGAAUUCUUGGUGUAGCAGUGAAAUGCGUGGAGAUCAAGAGGAACACUCGUGGCGAAAGCGAGCUACUGGACAAUAUCUGACGCUGAGGCUCGAAGGCCAGGGUAGCGAAAGGG
rnacentral:rRNA from 1 species